rnacentral:misc_RNA from 1 species
UGGCAGGCAAUCCGUGUUGGUUGUUGUGGGAUGAGAUGGUGCCUCAGAGGCUGGUUCUUGUGCUGCCUACCCCUUCAAGGGAAGCAGGCCACYUGCAUUUAGCCUCCGUCCGGCGCCUUCUAACGGGCGCCGGAGGACAGCGUAGCACCCCCCGUGUUCCACCGGGCCUUCAUCGGUCGCGUGGCCCGCGGGGAAGUGCGAUGCUCUUGGACCCAGCGCACGCGGCGGACGGGGACUCGCGCCCCAGUCCUAAGAGGAGCUUCGAUAUAACGUAUGACGGCCGCUCCCGCCCCUUG